GCCUCGGUGGUGUAGUGGUCAAGACGCUCGCCUGGUAAACAGGAGGGCUUGGGUUCAAUUCCAGUCGAGGUA
rfam:Asian citrus Psyllid, Diaphorina citri - Florida Strain, whole genome shotgun sequence.